rnacentral:rRNA from 1 species
GACGAACGCUGGCCGCGUGCCUAAUACAUGCAAGUCGAGCGGACGAAUCGAAAGCUUGCUUUUGAUUCGUUAGCGGCGGACGGGUGAGUAACACGUGGGCAACCUGCCCUGUAGACGGGGAUAACACCGAGAAAUCGGUGCUAAUACCGGAUAACACGAAAUGUCGCAUGACGUUUCGUUGAAAGACGGCGCAAGCUGUCGCUACAGGAUGGGCCCGCGGCGCAUUAGCUAGUUGGUGAGGUAACGGCUCACCAAGGCGACGAUGCGUAGCCGACCUGAGAGGGUGAUCGGCCACACUGGGACUGAGACACGGCCCAGACUCCUACGGGAGGCAGCAGUAAGGAAUCUUCCGCAAUGGACGAAAGUCUGACGGAGCAACGCCGCGUGAGCGAAGAAGGCCUUCGGGUCGUAAAGCUCUGUUGUUAGGGAAGAACAAGUAACGCAGUAACUGGCGUUACCGUGACGGUACCUAACGAGAAAGCCACGGCUAACUACGUG